rnacentral:rRNA from 1 species
AUUGAACGCUGGCGGCAGGCCUAACACAUGCAAGUCGAACGAGUGGCGGACGGGUGUGUAAUGUCUGGGAAACUGCCCGAUGGAGGGGGAUAACUACUGGAAACGGUAGCUAAUACCGCAUACCAUCGGAUGUGUCCAGAUGGGAUUAGCUAGUAGGUGGGGUAACGGCUCACCUAGGCGACGAUCCCUAGCUGGUCUGAGAGGAUGACCAGCCACACUGGGGCUGAGACACGGUGCAAAAUCCUACGGGAGGCAGCAGUGGGAAAUAUUGGGCAAUGGGCGGAAGCGUGAUGCGGCCAUGCGGCGUGUAUGAAAAGGGCCUUCGGGUUGUAAAGUACUUUCAGCGAGGAGGCGUUACUCACAGAAGAAGCACCGGCUAACUCCGUGCCAGCAGCCGCGGUAAUUC